UGCUCAAAAUUUCUUAUUUCAGGACAGACUCGAAAUGUGAUGCUUUCAGAGAAAGAGAGAGACCCCUCAGGACACAAAACUUGAGAACAGGAUGCAGAAAUCACUCUGCUUAUCAAAUUGCAUUAUGGUGAAAUCCUCAAAUGAAUGAUGCAGCCAAGAAGUGCAAUUACCUGAUCCAUUUUCUUCAAGCAAGCAGGAAAAGCCUGUGUCAAUAUCCUCAUCAGAUUCAAUGGUAACUCCAAAUUCCCUUUCCUGAAAUGGAUAGCCAGUUGUCAGCUCUCAGAAUAUAGGUGAUGCAGUUUCAAGUUUUCAAAUAUGUGGUGUGCUAAACAAAGCAUUUUUGUUAACUUCAACACAAGGCCUCAGAGAUGGUGGACUAUGACAUAUCACAAAUACAACAUUUCAAAACCUAUUGUUUCUUGUUUGGAUGUUUUCAUGUCACAAUGAUAACCACUAUUGCUCACAAGUCAACAAGCAAUUUGUUUGCAUAUGGACAAUGAGAUAUUUACCUGUUGAAAUGAUUUAUUCUGUUUGUGACUUCUGCUGGAAA